UAUUGUGUUAUGCUUACAGCCAAAUUUCCAUCAAAAACAGAUUUCAGAAGCUAAACAGGGCCGGGCCUGGUUAGUACCUGGAUGGGAGACGACAGGGAACAUCAGGUGUCACAGUGG
rnacentral:rRNA from 1 species